CUCACUGUUUGGUCUGGUGUGGAAGAGCACUGGGGAAGUACUCCUUUGGUGGUCUAUUCUAACCUUUGAUUCUGAGUCUGUAUUUGGUUUUAGAAACUGAAUUGGGGAGAGGAAAGAAUUGGAGAAAUAAAAAAAGGAACUGGGAUUUUUAAAAGUGUUGGCAAACUUCCUGCUUCUAUGUUAUCUAAAGCUAUUUUUUCAUCUUAGUUUUACUGAUCCAACUCUAAAAUUUUUUAUUGCUAUUUUUUAAACAUUGCUUUCAUUUCUAAAUCCAUCCCUCCCAUACUCAGUGAGCAAUCCCUUUAAAAUUUUUUCGAAAGAGAACAAAAAGCAGUUCAGUGAAAUUCAGCCAAAUCUGAAAGGAUGCACAAUAUUCUACCCCUAUAGUCUCUCACCUCUGCAAAGAAUCAAAGGACUUACGUUUUCUCAUCUCUUUUGGGUAGAUAAAUGGUCAUCAUUAAUACACAGCAUUCAGUUUCUUUUGUUUUUAGUUCUUGCCAUUUAUAUUGCUAUCUUCAUUGUUAUAUGUUUUCUUGGCUCUCCUUGUAUUCCUCUGCACCUAUAAAUCUUUACAUUCGUAUCCAGAUUUUUCUCAUUCAUCAUUUCUUCUAGCACCAUCAUAUUUCAUUACAUUCAUCUGCCACAAUUUGUUUAGCUAAUCCCUAAUGGACAGGGAAAUCUGCUUGGUUUCCAGUCAUUUACUACUAUAAAAAGCAUUGGUAUGGGUAUUUUGGUAUAUAUAGGACCUUUCUUUGACCUCCUUACAGGUAUAGCUAUUGAUCAGUAAUCUUUCCUAGAGUGUUUGUUUUGUUAAUAAGGCUCUGAAGAUCAGUUGUACUUUGGGAUGAUGGGCAUUAGUAGCUAAAGAUUUGAAAUUUUCUUUCAGUUAUGGAGACCAUGGCUCUUCUCAUGUUUCAGGGGUGUGUUGUUUGCCCUAGUUGUCAGGGAGUUGUGUUUUGACUGUUCAGUACAUGAGAGCUAAGUUUUCUUAAACUUUUUGAUUGGUGACCACUACCUUUUCUUCACAUUCAUGGACUCUUUGCAAAGAUUAACAGAAAUAACGUUUGGAAAUAGACCAGCUAGGAUGAUGACCAGGGCUACUGGUCUUCACUCUUGUUACUCCAGUAUUAGUAGUAGUGAGAUGACCCUAUAACAGGAAAUAUGGGAAUCUGCCUUCUCGCUUGACACCUUCCCUUUUGUUUGUUUUUCUAGAUUAAUGUCACUAUUGGAUGACCAUUAGAUGGUGAGCUCCUUGAGGGUAGGGAUACUCUUUUGUCUUUCCUGGCACAUAGUAGGCACUUAAUAAAGAUUUAUGACUGACUAUGCAUUGAGUAUUGAUAGUGAACUGUCAGAUCCAAGAUGAAUUUCCAGGGGUACUGCUAGCUAGUCCACUACAUUUCAAUACUUCAGUGUGUACUUUUCCUCUAGAAUCUUGAUGAAAUAAGUAUAGUAAAAUAAAUAUAAAAAAACUAUUUUAAAAUGUAAAACUCCUUUUUUAGCUUACAGGCCAUACAAAAAUAGACUGGCUUUGGUCCUUGGGCCAUUACCCCUAAUCUGGAUUAUUUAGUGCUUUCUCCUUCCUUCUGUAGCAGCUAUAGUGGCCUCAGGUCCCUAUAGCAUUUGACAUGUGUAGACAGUUUGACAGUGUAGACAUGAGCUGAAUUUAAUUAAUGUCAUAUGUGAAAAGCACCAGGCUGGGAGUCAGAAUAACCUGUGUCAUUCCAAACUAUACUCAUAACACUAAAUAAUAAUAAUAGCAUUUGUAUAGCAUUUUAAGGUUUGCAAAGCUCUUUACAAAUACAUCAUUUGAUCCUCACAGCAACCCUAGGAAUGAGUGCUAUCAUUCCUCCAUUUUAUAGUUGAGGAAACUGAAGCAAAGAGAGAUUAAGUGAGUUGCCCAGGCUUACACAGACUAAGUGUUUGAGGUUAGAUUUGGACUCAGGUCAUCUAGCUGCCUAAAUAAUCUUUUAGCAGCUACUAAUACCCUCUAUACCUCAUUUAUUAAAUGGUGACACAAUUUUCCCUUUGUCUUCCUCCAAGUAAUCAUUUUGUAGAUUCAUGUGAUGUUCAGUGUCUGAAAUGGCAGAGAUUGUUGAAGAAAGGUAGAUGGGGAGGUUUGGAUGGAGAGAGCAGAAGGAAGCCAAGGACAUAAAGGAGGGAACAUAGGUUAUUGGUAUGUGAGGUUAUUAAAAUCUAUUUAAAUUGCAUUAAGCUGUGGCCAUUUCCUGAGCCCUUAACAGAACAUAGAAUUACCCAGUUCCUGCUUUUAUAGAUCAGUAAAAUAAAUAAAAUUACAUCAGGACAUCAUGCAUCUAAUGUAUUUUUUUAACCCAAUUUUGAUCUCGUACUUUCUCCUGAAUCACUUUGGUGAUUAGCCAAAUGCUUGGCUGUCCUCUGAUGGCGCCGUGUUCUCAGCACAGUCUGAAAGGGUUAAAGGACUCUUGGGAAAGGCACUAGGCUACAGGCAUCAUCUUGUACAUUUUUUCCCUGCCUAGCCUUAAUGAUCCCCUGUAAAAGCAUACUCGAAUGGAACCAGCACAGAACAAUAUUUGCAUUUGAAACACACUUUUCUUUUUAAAAAGGCCCAAUGCAAAAGCAAAAACAUACUCUGCUUACUGCAAUUCAGUGUGGCCUUGGGGAAUUUUGUGUCUGUGUUGGAGUUGUUAAUACAUAAUUGCAGCUGCCUUUUCUAUACAGAAAGAUUCAGAUACAAAGUCACACGACUAAAUGUUUUCUGCUGUGCCCAGACCACAUUUUUUCCUUUUGAAACAACUUAGAAAAUUUGACAAGUGCUUUAAAUCUCCCUUAACUCUGAACUCUAGGAGAGUAACGACCUUUGGAAAAGUUAUAUUAAUUUGCUGUAUUUCAGUUUUCUCAGCUGAGAAUUAGAGUUGAGAAAUAAUUAAGCUCUUUAUCCUUCUGAAGACAUAAUUUUUUAGGUCAUAACUUUGAGGUCCUGGGAAAUGAAAAGAAUAUCCGUAAUUUAUUUCAUUAUCAUAUGAAAGUCAGUCAGUAAACACAUACUCAUGGCAUCUUGGACAUAAAACUGCUUGUUUGUGAUUACUUGGAAAGUUAGGUUAACUGCUGAACACUGAUGUAGUUAAUUUUCUGGUGAAGUAUUGUUAGAUUUUUGUCUGGCUUGUUUUGUAUCCUACAGUGAAAGCAAGCUUUAGAUUAGGGACUGUUUCAUUUUGGUUUGCCACCUAAUUGGCACUAAGUAGAUUCUUGUUGACUACUCAAUCAAUUGAAGAAGUCAGCUAAUUAAGGGCAAGGCUAGAAAAAACAACAAACCCAGCCCCUUUCUAUAAUUGAAGGAUACAAUAGGUAUUGAAUGAUUGUUACUACUCAGAAGUUACUUACCACAGAAGCUAUUAGUUACAUUUUCUGAGGUUAGGAAACCUUGAAGAAAUUAUUAACUACCAGAGAUUUAGUUAUUCAGUGAUAUCUGAAUUUCCAAAUCCUAUGGAUUAUUUGUGUGUGUGUGUGUGUGUGUGUGUGUGUGUGUGUGUGUGUGUGUGUGUGUGCAUACACGUGCACGAUUCUUAGUUUCUCUGAAAACAAUACUGUCACCUACUCUUCUCCUAGAUACUCUCUUCUUUCUGGGUUUUUGCAACACUGCUCUCUUGGAUCUCUUCCUCUCUGGCUGUUGUUUUUCAAUUUCUUUCACUGAUCAUUAGUCAAAUCAUACUUUUUAAAAAAAAAAUUAAACCCUUACCUUCUGUCUUGGAAUCAAUACUGUGUAUUGGCUCCAAGGCAGAAGAGUGGUAAGGGCUAGGCAAGGGGGGAUCAAGUGAUUUGCCCAGGGUCACACAACUGGGAAGUGUCUGAGGCCAGAUUUGAACCUAGGACUUCCCAUAUCUGGCCUGGCUCUCAAUCCACUUAUCUGCCCAGCUGCCCCCUGAAAUUGUACUCUUUAACUAUGGACUCUACUUCAGUUUCACUUAAUAGGUAUUGAUUAAGCAUAUACUAGGCACUAUAAGAAUAUAGUUAGGCAAUUAAGGAAAUUAAUUGCUAUUAAUUUAGAGAAAGAAUACUAAGAAGAUUUCAAAUUCUAUAUAGAAAAUGCUUUAUCUAAUGUUAUCUUCAGGGAGAGAUAAUAUAAGGCUAUAAUUCGGAAACUUUACAUAUCGCUUUUGAAGCGAAUGUGAAGAAAAAAAGAGACAAAUUCUACAGAUACUUAAUUAAAAAUACUACAAUGUUCAUUUAGAGUAGAGGUCCUUAACCUAUUUUGUAUCAGGUUCCCCUUGGGCAGUCUAGUGAAACCUAUGGACCUCUUUUCCAUUAAAAUGUUUUAAAUGCAAAAAAUAUAAAAUUACAGACAGUACCCAAAUUUAGUAAAAAUAAAAAAGGUAAGCUUUUCCUAUGCAUAUUCAUGACUUCCCUGAAAUAUAUCCAUGGACUCCUUGGGAUUUUGUUGACAAAAGGUUACGAAGUGUUGAUUUAAAGAAAUAAUAUGGGGUGGUUUGUUUUAUGCAGAAUAAAACUUAGUUAUACUUUAAAAUUAUAAUGACCAUUUUUAAUUUCACAAGUGAAUUUUAUCUCCUGUUUUUUCAAUCAUGUUGGCCACUUUUAUCCUUCUAUAUGUUAUUAGGAAAGCAGCACCAUCAUCAUCAUAGCUAUCAUUUUACUUAGUGCUUUAGGGUUUGCAAAACACUUUACAAAUAAUAUUUUAUACUCACAAUAACUCUGGAAGGAGAGGUAUUAUUAUUUCCUCCUUUUACAGUAUGGUCAUACAACUAGCAAGUGACUGAGGUAGAAUUUUAACUCAGAUUCCCCCUGACCCAACACUCUGUCUACUUGACCACCUAGCUAAGGACAUUUAGUUUUUCUUUUUUCUUUUUAAUAGAUAAAGAAAUGGAUAAUAAAUUUAGUAAGCACCAGAGACAGAAUUUGAACCCAGGUCCUCUGACUCUAGGGGGCAGCUAAAUGGUGCUAAGAGGUAGAUGAUAUGGUUCCUGCCAUUACCAUUACCAAUACCACCAUCCCUACCAUCACUACUACUAUUACUAAGAUGAGGAUGACUAUUAGUACUGCUUACCACCACCACCACACUAUUCCUCCUACUAUUACUCCUACUCCUACUCCUAUUGCUACUGCUUUUGCUACUACCCCCACCCCUACCACUAGAAGUGGUACUACUGCUUCUAUAGCAUUCUCCCAAUGAUGCUUUAUGGUGGUGAACAGUGGAACAUUACUAUCUCAAAGGAGUCAAAGCUCCUUUUUAUCUAAAGGAUACCUGAAAAAAUGCCCAUGGUAGGUAUACAAAUAGACUACACUGUAUUGCAGUAGAGAAAGGUGCAUCUUAAGAGGUACCAAAGAUAGAAAGAACAAGUGUAACUGGAAAAUGAGAUUGUCUUGUCAUGCACUGAGAGCAGCAAAAUAGAUGGACAGCACAAUGCAGUACCGUUCCCUAAAAAUAUGAAGUAUCUAGUCACUGACAACAGAUACUUUCAACAACAUCUGGGAAGAGCUUAGGUUUAGGGUCAGAGGUGAUUGUUGUUUGGAUGUAUUCCAUUCUUUGUGACCCCAUUUGGGGUUUUCUUAGCAAAGGUACUAAAGUGGUUUGCUGUUUCUUUCUCCAGUUCAUUUUACAGAUGAAUAAACUGAAGCAAAUAGGGCUAAGUGACUUGCCCAGGGUCACAUAGCUAAUAAAUGCCUGAGGCUGGAUUUGAACUCAGAAAGAUGAAACCUCUUUACUCUAAUCCCAUUACUUUAUAUACUACAGCACCUACCUGCCCUGCACACAUAUACACAGGUUCUCUAUAGCAUUUUGAGGGCAACUUAAUGCUUAGUGAUAUAAUUUCCCUCUAAACGAUUUUUACUCUAAUUGUUGCCUUUUUACUUCCUAAUCUCAAAUUAGUCUUUAAAAAUAUUUUAGAAUUACUCUAAAAAGAUAUUCAUGAGUCAAAACAUCCACAACUAAGCCCAAGUUGACUGAUUGUAUUAGAAGCUUUUUAAAGGUUCUUUUUCCUUUAGGGGUAGUAAUUAAUGAAGGAAAAAAGAACCCUGGCUCUGCAGAUGAGUCAAUUUAGAAAAUGUCUGACUCAGCAAAUCUCUGGAAACAAAAGAGCUUGAUUGAUCUGGCAUGAAUGAGGUGCACACAUCAUUUGCAUUUUGGCUGUGAAAUGAGAAAUAGGAAGAGAUUCAUAGCUUAGCGAAAGUCAUUUCUUUUUUCCUCAUGCAUUUUUAAAAAGCUGUGUUGAAGAAAAUCAAGGCUAGUGACAGUUGGUCAAUAACUUCCAUCACAUCCCAAUGAAUAUGUGUGCAUAAUAAUUAUCAUUAAGGAAGAUGAAAUGUAACCUCAACACAUAAGUUAAGUAAAAACCUUUGGUACCGAUUUGACAUAAAGCAAGGGCGAGAGCUUGCAAAUGGAUCACAGGUUGUCCAACUUUCCUUUCGAGGCAUGGGUAACUACAGUGAUUGAAACCCAUAGGAGCUCUCCAGUUUUCAUUUGUAUGAGUUACUGAAAUAUCUUCUUCCAGUAUAUCAGAACUGAUUACAAUACUGCCAUGCAGUCUGUAUCUUUUGUGGGGGGUACUUAGUGUUCAUUAGUUUUGAGGGUUUGUUUAGCUUGAAAAUAGUUUGCUCCCAUUCGGUCAGGUAAGAGUUAUAGUUGGGGUAAGGCAACAUUUCCGAAUUUAAAUUUUCUUUUAUCUUCUUAUUUGACUUCCUUAGUUUAUUCCCUAGUGACAUGCUAAUGACCACAAAUAAGGGUGACUGUAACAAUGUAUGGAAUUAGAUACCUGCAGGAUGUCAUCCUUGGAAGGGACCUCAGUUGGUCAUCUUGUUCAAUACCUGAUGAGCAAGAAUCCUCUUCUAUUGCACCAAGCCUUUGUUUGAACACCUCCAAUGAGAUGAAAACUACUGCCUUUUAGGAACCUCACAGGAAGUGAUAAUACCAGUGCCAGGAAUCUGUCUUUCUAGCUAAUGUAAUUACCCUCUUGUCAGUUUGUCUGUUUGCAUCAUAAUAAACCUGUUUGGAAAAUGUA